AACACAUGCAAGUCGAGGGGCAGCACGAGGUAGCAAUACUUUGGUGGCGACCGGCGCACGGGUGCGUAACGCGUAUGCAACCUACCUUUAACAGGGGCAUAACACUGAGAAAUUGGUACUAAUUCCCCAUAACAUUCGAGAAGGCAUCUUCUUGGGUUAAAAACUCCGGUGGUUAAAGAUGGGCAUGCGUUGUAUUAGCUAGUUGGUGAGGUAACGGCUCACCAAGGCAACGAUACAUAGGGGGACUGAGAGGUUAACCCCCCACAUUGGUACCGAGACACGGACCAAACUCCUACGGGAGGCAGCAGUGAGGAAUAUUGGUCAAUGGACGCAAGUCUGAACCAGCCAUGCCGCGUGCAGGAAGACGGCUCUAUGAGUUGUAAACUGCUUUUGUACUAGGGUAAACGCUUCUACGUGUAGGAGCCUGAAAGUAUAGUACGAAUAAGGAUCGGCUAACUCCGUG
rnacentral:rRNA from 1 species